CCUACGGGGAGCUGCAGUGGGGAAUAUUGGACAAUGGGCGAAAGCCUGAUCCAGCCAUGCCGCGUGUGUGAAGAAGGCCUUCGGGUUGUAAAGCACUUUCAGUGGGGAAGAAAGCCUUGGGGCUAAUACCCUCGAGGAAGGACAUCACCCACAGAAGAAGCACCGGCUAACUCCGUGCCAGCAGCCGCGGUAAUACGGAGGGUGCGAGCGUUAAUCGGAAUUACUGGGCGUAAAGCGCACGUAGGCGGUCUGAUAAGCCGGUUGUGAAAGCCCCGGGCUCAACCUGGGAACGGCAUCCGGAACUGUCAGGCUAGAGUGCAGGAGAGGAAGGUAGAAUUCCCGGUGUAGCGGUGAAAUGCGUAGAGAUCGGGAGGAAUACCAGUGGCGAAGGCGGCCUUCUGGACUGACACUGACGCUGAGGUGCGAAAGCGUGGGUAGCAAACAGGAUUAGAUACCCGAGUAGUC
rnacentral:rRNA from 1 species